UUGAAAUGUUGGUUCCCGUACGAUUACCGAAGUUAAGCAGCGUCGAUCUUGGUCAGUACCUAGAUGGGUGACCGCUUGGGAAUGUGCGUG